ACUUUUGUAGCUCAGUGGUGAGAGCGCCGGUCCGCAAGACCGGAGGUCGCGGGUUCGAUUCCCGUCAAAAGAC
rnacentral:tRNA from 1 species